GGGAAUAGAAGUCAGUCUAAUAACGUCGCAUCAUGCGACAACGGCUGACUGACCCACAUCCUGUGGG
rnacentral:sRNA from 1 species